GACGAACGCUGGCGGCGUGCUUAACACAUGCAAGUCGAACGGAAAGGCCCUGCUUUUGUGGGUUGCUCGAGUGGCGAACGGGUGAGUAACACGUGAGUAACCUGCCCUUGACUUUGGGAUAACAUCAGGAAACUGGGGCUAAUACCGGAUAGGAUCUCCUGCUGCAUGGUGGGGGUUGGAAAGUUUCGGCGGUUGGGGAUGGACUCGCAGCUUACCAGUUGGUUGGUGGUGUAGUGGCUUACCAAGGCUUUGACGGCUAGUCGGCCUGGGCGGGGAACCGGCGACGUUGGGCCUGAGGUACGACGCAGCCGAGUAUGGUAGGCAGCGGUGGAGAAGAUAACACAGUGGGAGGGAGCCUGAUCCAGCGACGCCGCGUGCGGGAUGUCGGGCUUGUGGUUAUGAACCGCUGUCGCCUGUACGGUAGCGUGGGUGACGGUAACGGGUAAAGAAGCACCGGCUAACUACGUG
rnacentral:rRNA from 1 species